UUAGCGUAUGAGUAUUUUUUAAAUGUUUGGAUUUCUUUAUGUUGUUUGCUUGAUUACCUGGUGCUCUAUGGAGGUAUCUAGGGCACAUGUAUUGAGUCUAUGACUCACUGUCAACAUUCCUGGAUGCGACUGCGGCAAUUCUUAUUUUUAUUCUUAUUUAAUUUUUGGCCCUAUAUUUAGUAGGGCAAAAAUCGAUCAAUCAUUGGCUGUACCUAUUUUCUAUUUUGAGGAUAAAGUCACUGUCCUCUAUGCAAACACACACUCUUCCAUUCUCUUCUAAAUCUCCUUUUUUCAAUUUGCAUGGUAUGUUCUUACUAUAAACAUUUAAAAGAGUUUUAUAUUUGCCCUUUAAUAUAGGCUGUGCUAUCUCUAUUCUAUCCACAUGAUGGCAAGCUAGAGACAACCUUACUACCCCUAAUAUCUAUACAUACGGUUUUCUUCUUCCUUUAUAUUUAUCUAUAUGAUCUCCUUUUCCAAAUAAAUCCCUUGUUUUUUAUUAUCCAUGGUUCCCCUUUUUACUAAAUGCCCUAAUUUCCUUAUGUGCGCCCUCUCUGAACUUCACGCUUGGCCGUUGUUUGCGGUUGUGCUGUAAUAUUGGUUCCGCUGUUACAUCGAGAAUUGCGACCUGUUUAUGCGCCGCUGUAAUGAAUGGGCGCGCGUCAAUGACGUCACACGUUUGACGCUGACGCAAGGAAAGGCCCUAUUUAAGGGAGGAACACACGCACUUGCCUUGUGUUGCCUCGUGUACACCCUGGGACACAGAUACCCUUACCUUUCGCCGCUCCACGGUAAGUACGGAUGCUCUUAUGCCUCGUGACACCCCUCACUUUUCCCAGAGAGUGUUACUUAUUACACCCUCACUCAUGUUUCCCUUUACUUAUAGGCCUCCUGUUUUAAAUACAGCGCAUGUUCACCAGCGGUACUUUUGACCUGAACAUUUGGCUUCAUAGGCUAUACAUGCCGCCCACGAUCUGUUGUCCCAGCAAACCUAAGAUCAUUUUAAUUAGUCUUUUUUGAGCUGUGCAGUGUGUCAGGGAUUAUCUAGCCCUGCAACCCAUGGAUCUUUCGUUUUGACCUCUAUUGGCUUACCAAAGAUUCCAGUUGCUGCGCAUGCAAAUUCCUGCCAAAACUGCAUCCUGACGAAUGUUGUCAAUCACUGUGCAUCAUAUAUACUUUAUGGAUGUUUCCACUGAGGACCAUAUGUCAUACACAAAUCUGUCUUUAUGCUAAAUAUGCAUUCCUCGUCUUCGUCCUGAAGAAGCCCCACGGCGAAACGUGCGUUGGCGACUUCUGAGGAAUAUACAGU